GGUUAAGCGACUAAGCGUACACGGUGGAUGCCCUGGCAGUCAGAGGCGAUGAAGGACGUGCUAAUCUGCGAUAAGCGUCGGUAAGGUGAUAUGAACCGUUAUAACCGGCGAUUUCCGAAUGGGGAAACCCAGUGUGAUUCGUCACACUAUCAUUAACUGAAUCCAUAGGUUAAUGAGGCGAACCGGGGGAACUGAAACAUCUAAGUACCCCGAGGAAAAGAAAUCAACCGAGAUUCCCCCAGUAGCGGCGAGCGAACGGGGAGCAGCCCAGAGCCUGAAUCAGUGUGUGUGUUAGUGGAAGCGUCUGGAAAGGCGCGCGAUACAGGGUGACAGCCCCGUACACAAAAAUGCACAUGCUGUGAGCUCGAUGAGUAGGGCGGGACACGUGGUAUCCUGUCUGAAUAUGGGGGGACCAUCCUCCAAGGCUAAAUACUCCUGACUGACCGAUAGUGAACCAGUACCGUGAGGGAAAGGCGAAAAGAACCCCGGCGAGGGGAGUGAAAAAGAACCUGAAACCGUGUACGUACAAGCAGUGGGAGCACGCUUAGGCGUGUGACUGCGUACCUUUUGUAUAAUGGGUCAGCGACUUAUAUUCUGUAGCAAGGUUAACCGAAUAGGGGAGCCGAAGGGAAACCGAGUCUUAACUGGGCGUUAAGUUGCAGGGUAUAGACCCGAAACCCGGUGAUCUAGCCAUGGGCAGGUUGAAGGUUGGGUAACACUAACUGGAGGACCGAACCGACUAAUGUUGAAAAAUUAGCGGAUGACUUGUGGCUGGGGGUGAAAGGCCAAUCAAACCGGGAGAUAGCUGGUUCUCCCCGAAAGCUAUUUAGGUAGCGCCUCGUGAAUUCAUCUCCGGGGGUAGAGCACUGUUUCGGCAAGGGGGUCAUCCCGACUUACCAACCCGAUGCAAACUGCGAAUACCGGAGAAUGUUAUCACGGGAGACACACGGCGGGUGCUAACGUCCGUCGUGAAGAGGGAAACAACCCAGACCGCCAGCUAAGGUCCCAAAGUCAUGGUUAAGUGGGAAACGAUGUGGGAAGGCCCAGACAGCCAGGAUGUUGGCUUAGAAGCAGCCAUCAUUUAAAGAAAGCGUAAUAGCUCACUGGUCGAGUCGGCCUGCGCGGAAGAUGUAACGGGGCUAAACCAUGCACCGAAGCUGCGGCAGCGACGCUUAUGCGUUGUUGGGUAGGGGAGCGUUCUGUAAGCCUGUGAAGGUGUGCUGUGAGGCAUGCUGGAGGUAUCAGAAGUGCGAAUGCUGACAUAAGUAACGAUAAAGCGGGUGAAAAGCCCGCUCGCCGGAAGACCAAGGGUUCCUGUCCAACGUUAAUCGGGGCAGGGUGAGUCGACCCCUAAGGCGAGGCCGAAAGGCGUAGUCGAUGGGAAACAGGUUAAUAUUCCUGUACUUGGUGUUACUGCGAAGGGGGGACGGAGAAGGCUAUGUUGGCCGGGCGACGGUUGUCCCGGUUUAAGCGUGUAGGCUGGUUUUCCAGGCAAAUCCGGAAAAUCAAGGCUGAGGCGUGAUGACGAGGCACUACGGUGCUGAAGCAACAAAUGCCCUGCUUCCAGGAAAAGCCUCUAAGCAUCAGGUAACAUCAAAUCGUACCCCAAACCGACACAGGUGGUCAGGUAGAGAAUACCAAGGCGCUUGAGAGAACUCGGGUGAAGGAACUAGGCAAAAUGGUGCCGUAACUUCGGGAGAAGGCACGCUGAUAUGUAGGUGAAGUCCCUCGCGGAUGGAGCUGAAAUCAGUCGAAGAUACCAGCUGGCUGCAACUGUUUAUUAAAAACACAGCACUGUGCAAACACGAAAGUGGACGUAUACGGUGUGACGCCUGCCCGGUGCCGGAAGGUUAAUUGAUGGGGU
rnacentral:rRNA from 1 species